rnacentral:rRNA from 1 species
GUCUAUUGCUAUACCAUCCCAAACAUGCUUGAUCUUGUCUGAUCUUGGAAGCUAAGCAGGGUCAGGCCUGGUUAGUACUUGGAUGGGAGAAUAUCACAAAUAAAUGUGAUUUAAGGUGACACAAUUGAUA